GCGUAGACGGCAAUGCAAGUCUGAAGUGAAAGGACGGGGCUUAACCCUGUGACUGCUUUGGAAACUGUGUAGCUUGAGUGCAGGAGAGGAAAGGGGAAUUCCCAGUGUAGCGGUGAAAUGCGUAGAUAUUGGGAGGAACACCAGUGGCGAAGGCGCCUUUCUGGACUGUGUCUGACGCUGAGAUGCGAAAGCCAGGGUAGCGAACG
rnacentral:rRNA from 1 species